CACGUAGGCGGCGCUUUAAGUCAGGUGUGAAAUCCCCCGGCUCAACCGGGGAACUGCACCUGAUACUGGAGUGCUCGAGGACGGUAGGGGUGAGUGGAACUCCAGGUGGAGCGGUGAAAUGCGUAGAUAUCUGGAGGAACACCGGUGGCGAAAGCGGCUCACUGGACCGUCUCUGACGCUGAGGUGCGAAAGCUAGGGUAGCAAACG
rnacentral:rRNA from 1 species